GUAUGGGGCAAGCGUUAUCCGGAUUUACUGGGUGUAAAGGGAGCGCAGGCGGCCUGCCAAGUCUGGUGUGAAAACCCGGGGCCCAACCCCGGGCCUGCAUUGGAAACUGGCGGGCUGGAGUGUCGGAGGGGCAGGCGGAAUUCCUAGUGUAGCGGUGAAAUGCGUAGAUAUUAGGAGGAACACCGGUGGCGAAGGCGGUCUGCUGGACGAUGACUGACGCUGAGGCUCGAAAGCGUGGGGAGCAAA
rnacentral:rRNA from 1 species